rnacentral:tRNA from 1 species
GGUUUCGUGGUCUAGUUGGUUAUGAUUUCUCGCUAACACCGAGAAGGUCCCCGGUUCGAGCCCGGGCGAAGCCA